AGCUGAUAAGCUUAAAUAGCCUAUGUUUUGAAAACAUAAGAUAGAAGUUAAAAUCUUCUAUUAGCUU
rnacentral:tRNA from 1 species